AUGGCAGAUCCCGCACCCGGUAGCGCGGGGAGAAGCGGCGAGCCCCCCCAACCCAGAUCAGAGGAACCGGUAGAAUCUCCGGUGGACCGCAUCAGCGAUCUCCCGGACGUCAUCCUUGAGGAGAUCAUCUCGCUUCUCCCCACCAAGGAUUGCUGCCGCACACAAGUCCUCUCAACUCGGUGGCGUCCUCUAUGGCACACCACGCCCCUCAAUCUCUACUAUCGUCAGAUAUAUGUCCUUCCUGAAUUUGAUCUCAUCAGAGCCAUCGUCUCUUCUCACUAG
rnacentral:rRNA from 1 species